rnacentral:rRNA from 1 species
AAGACGAUGACGUUGAUAGGUCGGGUGUGUAAGCGUAGCGAUACGUUGAGCUAACCGAUACUAAUGAACCGUGAGGCUUAACCUUACAACGCCGAAG